AAUGAGGUAUUAGUAAAAUUUACAUAACCUUGUCAAGGUUAAAUUAUGGGUGCAAGCCCCAUAUAUCUCC
rnacentral:tRNA from 1 species